AGGUUCUGAAACGGCACUCUGGCAGACAAGAAAGACGGUAUUUGCCGAACAUCCUAAAAAUACCUCCGAUGGAUGAUGUGGUCUGAAGAAGAGUCAGUGUAGAUUGACGAAUCCACAAUGACACAGAUAAUUACGCGGUUGCUCUCCAGUGUGUCGGUACCAGAGGAGGAGAUGGGAUGCAGACCUCCGUUAUCGUUGAGCCUCUUGGCACGGAAUACCCAUAAAAAGCAGCCAUGUGACAUGCCUGCUGUGCAGCAAUAGGCCAGAAUGAGACCUCAUCAUCUCAGCUGUACUGAACAAACUGAACGCACAGCCUUUUUUCAGCCUAAUAGCAUGGCAAAGCUUUACACUGAC